GAUGAACGCUGGCGGCGUGCCUAAUACAUGCAAGUCGAGCGAACGGACGAGAAGCUUGCUUCUCUGAUGUUAGCGGCGGACGGGUGAGUAACACGUGGAUAACCUACCUAUAAGACUGGGAUAACGUCGGGAAACCGGAGCUAAUACCGGAUGAUAUUUUGAACCGCAUGGUUCAAAAGUGAAAGACGGUCUUGCUGUCACUUAUAGAUGGAUCCGCGCUGCAUUAGCUAGUUGGUAAGGUAACGGCUUACCAAGGCAACGAUGCAUAGCCGACCUGAGAGGGUGAUCGGCCACACUGGAACUGAGACACGGUCCAGACUCCUACGGGAGGCAGCAGUAGGGAAUCUUCCGCAAUGGGCGAAAGCCUGACGGAGCAACGCCGCGUGAGUGAUGAAGGUCUUCGGAUCGUAAAACUCUGUUAUUAGGGAAGAACAUAUGUGUAAGUAACUGUGCACAUCUUGACGGUACCUAAUCAGAAAGCCACGGCUAACUACGUG
rnacentral:rRNA from 1 species